rnacentral:ncRNA from 1 species
AACAAAAAUGUUAUUUUUUUAACAUAACUGUGAUAUUUUAAGAAUGUAAAUUUGCUAUCUGGGCGUAUAUUAAAGUUGUUGCGGUUAAAAAGCUCGUAGUCGGAUCUGUGUCUGGACGGUGCCGGACCACCCUGGCGGUCCGUCGCGCUCGUCAGCCGUCUCGGGGUGUUAGUUACCGGCACGUCGGCCGGACGUAUUGUCGGUAGGCGGACACGUGUCUCGUGCUUCCGGCGCGCCGCGCGGCCACGCGUCGCGCGGCCGUCGGUGUUCAACGACGGCGGCCGCCUACUCCAAUAUUCCUGCGCGGUGCUCUUCACCGAGUGCCGUUGGCGGGCCGACACGUUUACUUUGACCAAAUUAGAGUGCUCAAAACAGGCUCGAAUCUGGCGGGGCGGCUUCACGGCCGUCUCGUCAAAAGGCCCUGAAUACUGGUCGCAUGGAAUAAUGGAACAAGACCUCGGUCCCGCGCAUCUCCGCCCUUCGCGGGCGCGCGAAAUCGCCCUCCGGGGCGUUUCCGUGCGCGGGCCGCCGGGCCGCGGGCGCCAGUCGCCCGCGCGUCCCGCCGGGCCGGUGUUCGGGACCGGAGGUAAUAAUCAACAGAGACGGGCGGGGGCAUUCGUACCGAGACGUUAGAGGUGAAAUUCUUGGAUCGUCUCGAGACGAACUGACGCGAAAGCAUUUGCCAAGUACGUUCUCGUAUGAGUAGUAUAUAUUUGUAUGUUCAC